GAUGAAGAACGCAGCGAAAUGCGAUAAGUAAUGUGAAUUGCAGAAUUCAGUGAAUCAUCGAGUUUUUGAACGCAUAUUGCGCCCUCUGGUAUUCCGGGGGGCAUGCCUGUUCGAGCGUCAUUAAAUAACCCUCAAGCAUAGCUUGGUGUUGGGCUUUUUUACGUCCUUGACUGGGAUGGGCCUAAAAAUUAGUGGCGAUGGCUUUUUUACUUUCAAGCGUAGUAAAUCUCGUCUUGCUAAAGAGGAAAAAGAUUUUUUUUCUGCCAAAAAUUUUAACACUUAAAGUUGACCUCGGAUCAGGUAGGAUUACCCGCUGAACUUAAGCAUAUCAAUAAGCGGAGGA
rnacentral:misc_RNA from 1 species